rnacentral:lncRNA from 1 species
GAGAGGCUGACUGGGGCUGGUCCGCGGCAUUGGAGAACAAGAAUCUAAGCAGAAUGGAGUGGGCGUCAAUCCAUACUGUGCUCUCAUUGAAGAAGCACAUGGAUUAGAUAAAAUAGAGUUUCUGCAAAGUCAUGAAAACCAGGAAAUUUACCAGAAGGCAUUUAUUUGAUCUAAAUGAACACUGUUUUGGUGUGGAAGAUGAUGAUCCUGGUAUUGCACCUCAGGUGGAUGAAAACCAACAACAGUUUGUAUUUCAGCAGCAGGAAGCACCAAUGGAAGCGUUUCAACUCUAACAGGUGGUGGGGGAAAUGACUGACAGAAAUGAGUAACUUCUGAUAGCUCUUCAACAUGACCAGUACUGGUACAAAGGGUUUUAUACAAUACAGGAAAGAGAAAAUUG